CCCCUAGUAACGGCGAGUGAAGCGGGAAGAGCCCAUCUCUAAAAUCUCCGUGGUGCUAACUACGGCGAAUUGUGAGGUGAAGGAUGGUUUGUACAGGCGCGCGGACGGGCAGAAGUUUCGCUGAGUCGGACGCCAGAGAGGGUGUGAGCCCCGUAUGCGGUUCGUUCGCGUGCGUGCAUAUCCAUUCCGUAGAGUCGGGUUGUUUGGGAAUGCAGCCCAAAUUUGGUGGUAAACUCCAUCUAAGGCUAAAUAUGCGGACGAGACCGAUAGCGAACAAGUACCGUGAGGGAAAGUUGAAAAGCACUUUGAAGAGAGAGUUCAAGAGUACGUGAAACCGUCGAGAGGUAAACGGUGGAGGCAGCUCAAGCGCCCGUCGAGAUUCAGGCUGUGGCUUUCGCGUGCGCGGGGUGGGCGGAUCCGAAUGGACCGCCGCCUCGCGCCACUCGUGGGUCGCAGUCGCACUUCCCGACGGGAUGCGCACACGACCGAUUGCCCGGGGGUGAAGGAUCGCCGUCGGUGGGGCAGGCUUCGGCAGGCUUUCAGACGGUCGUUUGCGGCCCUCUGGGCGAUCGUGGAGGUGAGGAGUACCGGCGCUUCGGUGCCUACCGGCGUUUCUCCGGCAUGCUGUCGACCAUGGCGGACUGCUUGCAGUGCGCUUGAACUGCUGUGUGUCGUCGGGAGCGUGCGGGUAGUUUGGGUACUUCCUGUCUGUGUAACAGUUGUUCUUUACCGACCCGUCUUGAAACACGGACCAAGGAGUCUAACAUGUGUGCGAGUCUCACGGGUGAUGAAACCCGCAGGCGUAAUGAAAGUGAGCAGGUGGGAAGGUCGCAAGACCCGCACCGCCGUCCCGUCCCGUCGUCUUGUACGAGGGGCGGAGAAGGAGCAUACACGUUGGGACCCGAAAGAUGGUGAACUAUGCCUGAACAGGAUGAAGCCAGAGGAAACUCUGGUGGAGGUCCGCAGCGAUUCUGACGUGCAAAUCGAUCGUCUGAUUUGGGUAUAGGGGCGA
rnacentral:rRNA from 1 species